rnacentral:tRNA from 1 species
GGUGGCUCAGGGGUAGAGUGCUUGCCUUGCAUGCAUGAGGUCCUGGGUUCGAUUCCUCAGCACCA